rnacentral:rRNA from 1 species
AACGAACGCUGGCGGCAGGCUUAACACAUGCAAGUCGAGCGCCCCGCAAGGGGAGCGGCAGACGGGUGAGUAACGCGUGGGAAUCUACCCAUCUCUACGGAAUAACGCAUGGAAACGUGUGCUAAUACCGGAUACGUCCUUAGGGAGAACGAUUUAUCGGAGAUGGAUGAGCCCGCGUUGGAUUAGCUAGCUGGUGGGGUAAAGGUCUACCAAGGCGACGAUCCAUAGCUGGUCUGAGAGGAUGAUCAGCCACACUGGGACUGAGACACGGCCCAGACUCCUACGGGAGGCAGCAGUGGGGAAUAUUGGACAAUGGGCGCAAGCCUGAUCCAGCCAUGCCGCGUGAGUGAUGAAGGCCCUAGGGUUGUAAAGCUCUUUCACCGGUGAAGAUAAUGACGGUAACCGGAGAAGAAGCCCCGGCUAACUUCGUGCCAGCCGCCGCAGUAAUAC